AUGGUUGUAAAGCACUUUAAGCGAGGAGGAGGCUACUAGUAUUAAUACUACUGGAUAGUGGACGUUACUCGCAAAAUAAGCACCGGCUAACUCUGUGCCAGCAGCCGCGGUAAUACAGAGGGUGCGAGCGUUAAUCGGAUUUACUGGGCGUAAAGCGUGCGUAGGCGGCCAUUUAAGUCAAAUGUGAAAUCCCCGAGCUUAACUUGGGAAUUGCAUUCAAUACUGGAUGGCUAGAGUAUGGGAGAGGAUGGUAGAAUUCCAGGUGUAGCGGUGAAAUGCGUAGAGAUCUGGAGGAAUACCGAUGGCGAACGCAGCCAUCUGGCCUAAUACUGACGCUGAGGUACGAAAGCAUGGGGAGCAAACAGGAUUAGAUACCCUGGUAGUCCAUGCCGUAAACGAUGUCUACUAGCCGUUGGGGCCUUUGAGGCUUUAGUGGCGCAGCUAACGCGAUAAGUAGACCGCCUG
rnacentral:rRNA from 1 species